rnacentral:rRNA from 1 species
GAUCCUGGCUCAGGACGAACGCUGGCGGCGUGCCUAACACAUGCAAGUCGAACGGAGAGAUAUGAGAGCUUGCUCUUGUAAAUCUUAGUGGCGAACGGGUGAGUAACGCGUAAACAACCCUGCCCAACGGAUGGGGACAACAGACGGAAACGACUGCUAAUACCCAAUAGACUCCGGUUUCGCAUGAAACCGACAGGAAAGGUGGCCUCUCGAAGAAGCUACCGCCGCAGGAGGGGUUUGCGUUUGAUUAGUUAGUUGG